rnacentral:rRNA from 1 species
GCGUUUGGAAAGAUUUUUCGGUUGGGGAGGGGCUCGCGGCCUAUCAGCUUGUUGGUGAGGUAAUGGCUCACCAAGGCGUCGACGGGUAGCCGGCCUGAGAGGGUGACCGGCCACACUGGAACUGAGACACGGCCCAGACUCCUACGGGAGGCAGCAGUGGGGAAUAUUGCACAAUGGGCGGAAGCCUGAUGCAGCAACGCCGCGUGAGGGAUGACGGCCUUCGGGUUGUAAACCUCUUUUAGCAGGGAAGAAGCGAAAGUGACGGUACCUGCAGAAAAAGCGCCGGCUAACUACGUGCCAGCAGCCGCGGUAAUACGUAGGGCGCAAGCGUUAUCCGGAAUUAUUGGGCGUAAAGAGCUCGUAGGCGGUUUGUCGCGUCUGCUGUGAAAUCCCGAGGCUCAACCUCGGGCCUGCAGUGGGUACGGGCAGACUAGAGUGCGGUAGGGGAGAUUGGAAUUCCUGGUGUAGCGGUGGAAUGCGCAGAUAUCAGGAGGAACACCGAUGGCGAAGGCAGAUCUCUGGGCCGUAACUGACGCUGAGGAGCGAAAGGGUGGGGAGCAAACAGGCUUAGAUACCCUGGUAGUCCACCCCGUAAACGUUGGGAACUAGUUGUGGGGUCCAUUCCACGGAUUCCGUGACGCAGCUAACGCAUUAAGUUCCCCGCCUGGGGAGUACGGCCGCAAGGCUAAAACUCAAAGGAAUUGACGGGGACCCGCACAAGCGGCGGAGCAUGCGGAUUAAUUCGAUGCAACGCGAAGAACCUUACCAAGGCUUGACAUAUACGAGAACGGGCCAGAAAUGGUCAACUCUUUGGACACUCGUAAACAGGUGGUGCAUGGUUGUCGUCAGCUCGUGUCGUGAGAUGUUGGGUUAAGUCCCGCAACGAGCGCAACCCUCGUUCUAUGUUGCCAGCACGUAAUGGUGGGAACUCAUGGGAUACUGCCGGGGUCAACUCGGAGGAAGGUGGGGAUGACGUCAAAUCAUCAUGCCCCUUAUGUCUUGGGCUUCACGCAUGCUACAAUGGCCGGUACAAAGGGCUGCAAUACCGUGAGGUGGAGCGAAUCCCAAAAAGCCGGUCCCAGUUCGGAUUGAGGUCUGCAACUCGACCUCAUGAAGUCGGAGUCGCUAGUAAUCGCAGAUCAGCAACGCUGCGGUGAAUACGUUCCCGGGUCUUGUACACACCGCCCGUCAAGUCAUGAAAGUCGGUAACACCUGAAGCCGGUGGCCUAACCCUUGUGGAGGGAGCCGUCGAAG